rnacentral:rRNA from 1 species
AUUGAACGCUGGCGGCAGGCCUAACACAUGCAAGUCGAGCGAGCGGCGGCGGGGUGAGUAAUGUAUAGGAAAAUGACUGAUGGAGGGGGAGAAAUACUGGAAAAGGUAGCUAAUACCGAAUACCAUCCGAUAUGACCAGAUGGGAUUAGCUAGUAGGUGGGGUAACGGCUCACCUUGGCGACGAGCCCUAGAUGGUCUGAGAGGAUGACCAGCCACACUAGUACUGAGCCCCGUUCCAGACUCCUACGGGAGGCAGCAGUGGGGAAUAUUGCACAAUGGGCGCAAGCCUGAUGCAGCCAUGCCGCGUGUAUGAAGAAGGCCUUCGGGUUGUAAAGCACUUUCAGCGGGGAGGCGUUACCCGCAGAAGAAGCACCGGCUAACUCCGUGCCAGCAGCCGCGGUAAUUC